rnacentral:lncRNA from 1 species
AGCAAGGUGGCUGGCCGGCAGGCCAAUGGCGGCCAACGCCACUUCCGGCCGCCCUCCGAGCAUCGCUCUUCGGCAACCCGAAGCCACAGGAUGGAGGAGGGGGAUCCCAGCAAAGGUAGCGACUAAGGGGACCCAAGCAGAACGGGAGGGCGACGUCCGGAGCGGCGGCAGAGCCAGGGGACGCUGUGUGAGGCUGGCAAAGCGGUGUUCACCUAGUUCUCUCGGGCUCCGCCGCCGCCGGAGGAGGACAGGAGGCCGGCAAGGCGACCCCCAAAUCUUCCUAGGCUCUGACUUCCGUCUCCUAACCCCCGCAAAUUCCAACCCGGUCUUGGAAAAUCCCGCGAGAACGGGCUCCCGAAUUGUCAUUGGGAUCUCGCGAGAACGAAAUCUUCCUUUCUGUGGGCGGAGCAAUCUUCCCGAUGUCUCUUCCCUCUGAGGCCAGUAGCAGGAAGGGCCUCGGGAGUUGCGAGUGUCGCGAGGUUUGAGGUCGCUCGGUGGGCCGGGCGCUGUGCGAAGCUAGAAAUAACUGGGGGCAUGGAGAAUGCGGUGGCUGUAAAGGGCCGCUGAGGCGGUGGAGGCCUGGCAGAGAGCGUCCCCGCGGUCGCGGCUUCUGGCUUCUCUGUGGAGCUUGGUUCUUCCGUGGUGGUGCAGCACCCCAGGAACUUCAGGAACCAGUCCUUCCUUGGAGAGCUCCCCGGGACAGCCACGGGGGCCAAGUGAAACUAGCGCGUUUUCUUGGAUCCUACACUUUAUAGUGAGUCAUAAAUACUUUAAAUACAAAGCCAACAACAUUUGCUGCAAAUAAACGUAAAAAUACUGUUAAAGUGUAAAGUGUUUUCCUCCGUACCAUCUGACGUUUCUGGCGGUUCGUUGAACGCGAGAGAACGCUGAGCCGUCUGCACUGAGCCCGGGAGCAUCUUCAGGGCAGCGCCGCCCACGCGCGAGGUGAAUGAAGGACACGGCCUCUUGACACUCCCAGGCAGCACAGAUAGACGGAUCCUGGCUAGAAGUGACCCCAGGAUUUUUUUAUUAUCAAGAGAGACUAGAAGAAUCAUGAGACUUUUCCUAGUUGCCUUUCAAGAAUAUGAAGAAAAAAAUGGUUCUCAAAGUGGGUUUGAAUGAGUAUUGUUCCAAUAAAUGAACUUAUAUUCAUAUUUCAUCCCCUGAGUCCUGGUGUUUCAACAUCCAUUAGAACUGAAUAAUCAUACUGCAUAUCAAAGUUUGUGGGAAAUUGCUAAAGUGUAAAAAAUGCUCAUAUUGAAAAAGAAGAAAAGCUGAAAAUUAAUUGUGCUUCCAACUUUAAAAAAGGACAACAAGCUAAUCCUAAAGAAACUAGAAUAAAAGGAAAAAAUAAACAGAAGUUAAAGAGUAAUUUUAAAAAAUACAAUAGAAAUUAUCAACGAAGCCAAAAGUUGAUUCUUUGAAAAGAUUAAUGAAGUAGGCAAACCACUGGUGAGAUGAAUCAAGAAAAAUAGAGAAAAGACUCAAAUAAACAUUAGGAAUGGAAAAUAGGGCAAUGCUAAAGAGAAUUCAAAGAUCAGAAAAAUAUGGGAGUAUACUAAAAACGAUUUCAUGCCCAAGUGUUCAAAUCUAUAUUGCCUUUAAAAAUAUAUAAAAAAGGAGCCGGACACUGGCUCAUGCCUAUAAUCCCAGCACUUUGGAAGGCUGAGGUGGGUGAAUCACAAGGUCAAGAGAUCAAGACCAUCCUGGCUAACACAGGGAAAACCCGUCUCUACUAAAAAUACAAAAAAUUAGCUGGGCGUGGUGGCACACGCUUAUAGUCCCAGCUGCUCAGGAGGCUGAGGCAGGAGAAUUGCUUGAACCCAUGAGGCAGAGGUUGCAGCGAGCAGAGAUGGCCCCACUGGACUCCAGCCUUGGCGACAGAGAGAGACUCCAUCUCAAAAAAAAAAAAAAAAAUCAAAAAGGAAAAGAAGCACUGAAGAAAUCCAUAACCGUUGGAGAAGCUUGAAUCAGUAGUUGAUAAUGUCCCUCCAAGAAAAGACCAGAUAUCCCAGUUUCUGACCUGUAGCAUAGUCCCUCUCUCUGAAGAACUUCCUGUAAUAUUUUUUGCUAG